rnacentral:RNase_P_RNA from 1 species
GAAGCACGCCAGGCCGCCGCUGGUGCAAGUCUCGAAAGAGCGCACUGGAGGAACGUCCGGACUGCACAGGACAGCGCAGGAGCUAACGGCUCUCCACCGCGAGGUGAGGAUCAGAGCAACAGAGACGAGUCGGCGAGGGGGCACCCCGAGCCGGGUGAAACGGGCAAUCUCUGCGCGCAGCAACACCAAGUAGGCCAGUAUUGAGGUGGUUCCGCUGAGCUGGCGACCCACGGCCCAGAUGAAUGGCGGUCACGCGGCGGCAUCCGCAAGGGUGCCGCCGUGCACAGAAUCCGGCGUAUCGGCGCGCUUCACAC